UACGGGGGGAGCAAGCGUUGUUCGGAUUUAUUGGGCGUAAAGCGCUCGCAGGUGGUCCGCUGCGUCGUGCGUGAAAGACCCCGGCUCAACUGGGGGAUGUCGUGCGAUACGGGCGGACUGGAGGCCAGUAGGGGGAUGCGGAAUUCCGGGUGUAGUGGUGGAAUGCGUAGAGAUCCGGAGGAACACCAGCGGCGAAGGCGGCAUCCUGGACUGGUCCUGACACUCAGGAGCGAAAGCGUGGGGAGCGAUCCGG
rnacentral:rRNA from 1 species